rnacentral:misc_RNA from 1 species
GAUGAAGAACGUAGCGAAAUGCGAUACUUGGUGUGAAUUGCAGAAUCCCGUGAACCAUCGAGUCUUUGAACGCAAGUUGCGCCUCAAGCCAUUAGGUUGAGGGCACGUCUGCCUGGGCGUCACAUAUCGUUGCCUGAUGCCAGUUUCCUCGUGAUGGGUGACUGUGCAGGGCGAAUGAUGGCUUCCCGUGAGCAUUGUUGCCUCAUGGUUGGUUGAAAAUUGAGUCCCUGGUAGGGAGCGCCGUGAUAGAUGGUGGUUGAGUGACGAACGAGACCCAAUCAUGUGAGACCCCUACCGAAUUUGGCCUUCAUGACCCACAUGCGUCUUUGGAACGCUCAUGACGAGACCUCAGGUCAGGCGGGGCUACCCGCUGAGUUUAAGCAUAUCAAUAAGCGGAGGA